AUUGAACGCUGGCGGCAGGCCUAACACAUGCAAGUCGAGCGGUAACAUUUCUAGCUUGCUAGAAGAUGACGAGCGGCGGACGGGUGAGUAAUGCUUGGGAAUAUGCCUUUAGGUGAGGGACAACAGUUGGAAACGACUGCUAAUGCCGCAUAAUAUCUACGGAUCAAAGUGGGGGACCUUCGGGCCUCACGCCUAUAGAUUAGCCCAAGUGGGAUUAGCUAGUUGGUGAGGUAAAGGCUCACCAAGGCGACGAUCCCUAGCUGGUUUGAGAGGAUGAUCAGCCACACUGGAACUGAGACACGGUCCAG
rnacentral:rRNA from 1 species